GAUAAAAUGGCUGAAGAAAGGUAAUAAAUUGUAAAUUUAUUUAUGAGUAUAACUCUUUUAUCAA
rnacentral:tRNA from 1 species